rnacentral:rRNA from 1 species
AUUGAACGCUGGCGGCGGGCCCAACACAUGCAAGUCGAGCGAGCGGCGGACGGGUGAGUAAUGUAGGGGGACUGCCCGAUAGAGGGGGACAACUACUGGAAACGGUAGCUAAUACCGCAUACUAUCGGAUAACCCAUAUGGAAUUAGCUAGUAGGUGAGGUAAUGGCUCACCUAGGCGACGAUCCCUAGCUGGUCUGAGAGGAUGUUCAGCCGAACUGGGACGGAGACACGGCCCAGACUCCUACGGGGGCAGCGGUGGGGAAUAGUGCACGAUGGGCGCAAGCCUGAUGCAGCCAUGCCGCGUGAAUGAAGAAGGCCCGAGGGUUGUAAAGUACUUUCAGUCGUGAGGCGUUACCGACAGAAGAAGCACCGGCUAACUCCGUGCCAGCAGCCGCGGUAAUUC